AUUCCAGCUCCAAUAGCGUAUAUUAAAGUUGUUGCAGUUAAAAAGCUCGUAGUUGGAUUUCUGGGUUUUGUGAAUGGUCUGCCGCAAGGUAUGCACUGUUCGCGAUACCCUUCUUCGUGAAGACGGUGCGUGUCCUUUACUGGGUGCGUACUGGAUUUGCGACCUUUACUUUGAAAAAAUUAGAGUGUUCAAAGCAGGCGUUCGCUUGAAUACAUUAGCAUGGAAUAAUGGAAUAGGACUUCUGUUCUAUUUUGUUGGUUUCUAGGAUGGAAGUAAUGAUUAAUAGGGGUAGUUGGGGGCAUUAGUAUUUAAUUGUCAGAGGUGAAAUUCUAGGAUUUAUGAAAGACUAACUUCUGCGAAAGCAUUUGCCAAGGAUGUUUUCAUUA
rnacentral:rRNA from 1 species